GGAAGGAUGGCUGAGUGGUUGAAAGCGAUCGCCUCGAAAGCGAUUAGGCCGUAAGGCCUCGCAGGUUCAAAUCCUGCUCCUUCCGCCA
rnacentral:tRNA from 1 species